UACGGAAGGGGCGAGCGUUGUUCGGAAUCACUGGGCGUAAAGCGCGCGUAGGCGGCCUUGCAAGUGCGGCGUGAAAGUCCUGGGCUCAACCUGGGGACGGCGCUGCGGACUGCACGGCUGGAGUCCGGAAGAGGGUGGUGGAAUUCCGAGUGUAGAGGUGAAAUUCGUAGAUAUUCGGAGGAACACCGGUGGCGAAGGCGGCCACCUGGUCCGGCACUGACGCUGGAGCGCGAAAGCGUGGGGAGCAAACAGG
rnacentral:rRNA from 1 species